rnacentral:lncRNA from 1 species
CGCUGCACUACCUAGUGGCGCGGCCGGCUGAGGAGCCGCUAGCAGCUAUGGUGGAACUAAGUGCAGACGGCCAGAUCCAUGCGGCGGAAGGGGAAAUGGAUGCACAAGAAGGGUCGCCGAGAGCGUCGGAGCAGUCAAUUGGAUAGAUCGACCCUAGAGCUCCUGGCCGGAAAAGAAGGUAUGGCAGUUCUACAGAUCCACAAAAUUUGUGGGAACCAAUUAUGAUGAUAUGAUUUGAAAUAGUGUGAUCAUGCAAAAAAAUUGAAAGGAUAAAUUGCUAUGUUUGUAUUGCCUGAACUUCUAGGAAAAGUUACAGGCGUGUCUCCUUGUAAAUAUGGAUGCAGGGUUGACUGAACUGUUAAUGAAAUUUGGUAAAAUUCAGAACUAGUAUAAGUUAAGUAGAGAUGCCUGUAAGCAGACAUUGUAAUGGACAUUGCAUGAUUUGUGGUUUGAAGGAAUGAACGCGUAGCCGCUGAAUUGAUGCGAAAGGACGCUGUAGCAUGUCAAACGCAGAAAAUUGUAGGAAACGGAAGGAUCUGUGUGUCGUUCCGGAGUUGAUUGUGCAGCUGAACCAAAAGUAGAAUUGAUGAAGCGAAACUGUUACGGUUCAAGCAUGGUGACACUGCAAAAACUGAUGUGUUGGGUGCUUGGAAAUUUUUGCGAGCGCUUUGUGUGAAACUAUACAUGAAACUCAUAUUUGUUUGUGGGUGGUUGCAGGGUGAGAGUAGGUGUUGCUGUCCCAGGAAGGACGCCAUGUCCUAACCGGACUACUGCUCUGGAGAAGGCUAUCCAUGGUUUUGCCGACAAUCUUGGGGACAAUGUCAUAGUGCCAACUUUGGGUACAAUCUUUGAUUCUCUAGGUGAAGCAUACAACUUCUACAACCUAUAUUUGUGGAGAAAGGAUUUGGCAUUAGAUACGGCAAAAGUAGGCUAAAUGUUGAGAGGACAAAAUGCAUGCAGGAAAUUCUUUGCGGCUGUGCAGCAUGGGAAUAAGGAUUUGACACUUGUUAGUAUUUCAAAUAAUUUUGUGUAGGAGCUGUAGCUGAAAUGUUCCAUCUUUUUCGUGUUUUUUUGUAGGGAAAGGCGGGGUUUGAGAACACUAUGUCGUGUCGUUGCGAUUGCCUUGCUCUCAUCAGGUUGUUGCUGUCCAAAGACAAUGGUUAGUACAUAGCAAAAGACCGUGAGGAGCACUACGGAAGCUGAUCCAUGGCACAGGAGGUUCGCUUUCAGGUUUGUGUAGAUGGAGAGAAUUAAUUUCGGUUAGGUUGAUACUUCGAGGAGCUAUUAUUCGUUUUUGGUCAAAAGGGUCGAAUUGCUGAGACGACAUGGGUGGAGAGGGGCGACUCCAUUGGCGGUGAUGGAGUUGCUGAUGCGACCCAUGAACAGGUAACAUCAGUAUCGUUUUUGGAAGUAGGGUGUUUUAAUUCGCGAUUUGUUGAUUGCUUGCUUUUUUCUUGCAAUGGAGGGUCGCAGAUUCCCCUUUCUGGAGGAAUUGCAUGAGAGCGCAACCCCGAUGGAACCGGCAGCGUUCACGGUGGUUCGUUUGGUACCGGCUGCCGAGUAAUCGACGGGACUAGCCAUGAGCGCGGACAAGCAGGUUGUGAGGAAGACAUGGCAAAAGGUGUGAGAUGAAAGGCGUCGCCGCAGGUGUCCGAGAUGUCCACCGGGAAGAUGAAGUUCCUACAGUCCUACAGGCACCUGGUUGGGCUAAGAGGUGUCUUUCCCUAAAUCAAUCAAAUCGGUAUGCAUUGAAUUUUUGUUGUUGAGCGAUUAGGAGUGAUGCUGUCAUAUGUGUAUUGACGUCCCCUUGGGGUUCAGAACAUUCAGACAAGUAGUUGAUGCUGUUCUUAAGUAGUGUACGGUUAUGAAUGGAUGAUGAUCUAUCCAUCUUGGAGCAUGUUGUUACUAAUUCAAGGUUGUUGUACAAUUGGUUAUGAGUUACGAUUUAUGGGGAGUGCUUUGUAGUUAGUUCAUGUAUGAGUCUUGUUGGAUGCUUGCUUCUGAAUUUAGCUGUGCAAUGGAAUCGAGAUCAUGAUGCUCAAUGUAUGGAUUAUGGAUGUUCAAUUCAGUUUAUAAUGCUAGUUGUUUUUCAU